rnacentral:lncRNA from 10 species
CUUCAGCCCCUAGGCCUGUUCCAUGUGUCCUUGUUCCCAUUCCAGACACCCACCCCAAACCCCAGCAUAUACCAACUCCACAGUGUCCUUGAUCUAGAUCAAUAGCUUGUCCCAAGCCCCAGUCAAUUCCUGUUGUGUGGCUCUUGCCUUUCAGGGGAAGACUAACAAAUCGGCAUAUACAGGCCCCAAGAUUGUUUCCCAAAUAGCGGCAAAGGAUUAACGAGAGAGUGGAGAAGUGAGAGUGGAAGUGCUGUCUUAAGUCCCUGACAGAUAGCAAGAUCCAGGUAUGUUUUGGGAAGGAGGUUCAAGGUGGUAGAGGUUCUAGAAGGCUAGGUUAGCAGGCAUGUUGAGAAUGGAAGAGCAGUGUUUUGGAUGCCAUCAGAAUCUCUCUACAUAAAAAGCUUUGCCCAUCUGAUUUAGUUCCUGCUGGUACUGCUGAUGCUCCUUUUCAAACAGCUGGUGCAGGGCAGCUUGACGGACCUGGUGGAGAGGGCAGAAUAGAGUGUGUUGUUUGCCUCUGUUUACCACCCUUUCUUAUUCUUUCUUCCUAGUUGUUUUCCCAUUAUUUGUGUUCUCUUGGAGCUGGACUUAGCUGUGACAUAAAGCUGGGUGGUAGCAGAGAGGCUGAACCAGCAGAGGGAAGCCUAUCCAAUUUUUUUCUCCACAGGCAAAGCCCUAUGUUCAGCAAAUAUUUGCUGAGAACAGACCAUGAAACAGGAACUCUACUAAGUAACUGGGAUACAAAGAUGGUUACAUGGCACCAAGUGGGGACCCCGGGAGAGAGAGAGGUACCGAGAGGCAAGUGAUACGCACUAAGAGGCAGUUUUUUUUGUUUUUUGUUUUUUUGAGACCAAGUCUUACGUUGUAGCCCAGGCUGGAGUGCAGUGGCACAAUUUCAGCUCACUGCAACCUCUGCCCUCGUUUCAAGUGAUUCUCGUGCCUCGGCCUCCCAAGUAGCUGGGAUUAUAGGCAAGUGCCACCAUGCCCGGCCAAUUUUUGUGUUUUUAGUAGAGAGGUGGUUUUGGCAUGUUGGUCAAGCUGGUCUUGAACUCCUGGGCUCAAGCGAUCUGCCCGUCUUGGCCCCCCAAAGUGCUGGGAUUACAGGCCUGAGCCACCACACCCGAUCUAAGAGGCAGUUUUGAGUCUCACCAAGAUGAAAGGAGCAGGAACUAGAGUAUACUUUGGGACUUUAACAUGUGCCUGCCGCCUGUAAGGUGGAUGCAAAGAAUCACUUAAUGAAAAAGAGUUUUGGCAAUGGAGUUAGAGUUGUGUUGCUCUGGUGUAAUGCUGAAAACCUAGAGGCAAACAAGAUAAAUGUGCAAUGACACACACUAAGAGCUUGGAAAACUCAAUGGGCAAAGGCACACAGCAGUAGUGAAUGAGACUUCAGGUUGCCCUGCUAGAACUCACCAUUAGUAGUUGCUUUUUGGCC